rnacentral:rRNA from 1 species
GAGCUUAUGAAUAAGAGUGCACCCCCUUUUUCCAAUAUGUUAAAGGUUUUAGAAUACUUGGGGUUAAGUGUCCUUGGGUUUGAAUAGUACUGGGCUGGGUGACCUCCCGGGAAGUCCAAAUUUAUGAGCUUA